GAGGGUAUAGCUCAAGUGGCAGAGUGCAUGCUUAGCAUGCACAAGGUCCUGGGUUCAAUCCCCAGUACCUCCU
rnacentral:tRNA from 1 species